UCUCUGUGCUAUUUCCAUUGCAGGAUCUGGACUCCCCUGAGAUGGCAACUGCAGCCACAGUUGUGCUGACUUUUUAACAAUGCACUAAGGUGUGACAGAUGAACCCCUGCUGUGUUUCAACAGGAUUUUGCAGCAUCAGAUGCAUAGAAGUUUGCAGGUACUAAUGGAAAACUAUACCAUAUGCUACUUUUGUGGUAAUGAACUCGGCCCUGUGGGAGAUCACUGAUCCUAUGCUGGCACCUGAGAACAUGUCAGUUUUGUGUCUGAGAGACACUUUUCAGGACCAGCAUAUUAUGACUGAUGAAGAGGGGAGUGCAGAACCCCCCAUUUCCUGUGGAGCUGGGGACCAGAAUGGGAGCCAGGGAACUGCCAGGCACAGCUCAAGGAAGGAGGCCCCUGCACAGAUGCUUAAGAUGAAAGACCUACGUUUCAAGACAUGAGAUUCUACGUAAUUUAAGGUACUGUGUGCAGUAUGUGAAGAUGUUUUAAACUGGAUUUUGUAGCACCAUCCCUCUAAAUAAUACAGUAGUUUCCAUUUAUGUGUGCAUUAUUAGUAGCAGAAUAUAAAGAGGACACUCCUGAAAGAAACAAAUUGAAGGUUUAGUAA
rnacentral:lncRNA from 1 species